rnacentral:lncRNA from 1 species
AUACGCAUGCGAAUGGUGCGAAUGCGUAUGCACAUGCGAAUGUGGCGAAUGAAUUCGCGAGUUUUACGCGACCCUAAACGCGACCAGGUGACUUUUAACGCGAGCGUAUCGCCAAACGCAAGGGAUUGCGAACGGCAUACGCGACUGCGAAUCCUGCGAAUGUAUGUGCUACCAUUUGAAUUUUACGCGAGUGACUGCGACUUGCGUGCGGGACUGCGAACUGUACGGCCAACCGUGCAAUACAAAAGCUUUACAAUAGCAGUACACGAGCUGUACAAUGUGCAAAGUGCACCGCCGUUGCACAUGACCUGCAGGUUCACAGCUGUGAACCACAGCACUCACUGCUUUCUUCAUACAUUUGAACUAUCCCUGAAUGACAGGUACGAAUUCAUAGCAAAUCCUAACAUGACCGAUGCAACUCAGCCAGCAACUCUUACCAUGGAAAAGGGUCCAACAGUCUAACGUCAGAAAAAAUCGACACACAAAUGUUAAGCGCAUGUAAAUGUACCACAAUACAGCCACUAUUGUCUUCUUAUUAAAGCGCUCAAUCCUCGCCUCCGCUGAUGUCAUCUUCACGAACGACGGCAUAAAUCUGCAUAUGAAAGGAUCACAGCAAAUCAUUGUUUAGGCAGGAACACAUAGUUGUGAGCAUGUUACGUACAAUGACGGCUGUAGGUGUGACACCGGCAUAACGUGCCUCGAAAUAAGGCAAUAAAAAGCAUUUAGUUAAUAGCCAUGGUCGUGCAACCAGAGGCUUCAUACCUCCGAACGGCCGCUACGUGGCAUGCCACGUCCCGUUUGAGCCCGACUCUUGUUCAUAUCCUUACCACCAUCCUUGCGCUUGUCCUAUUCCUUGCGAUUCUCCUGCUCGUGUCCUUGGAAUGNNN